UAUAAAACAACGUUGUGCUGACUGCAAGAAUGUUAUUGAUGAGCCUGCUCUAUGCCUUUUAUGUGGUAGAUUAUGCUCCCCGAGGUGGAAACCUUGCUGCAGGGAAAGUGGAUGCCAACCUCAUGCAAUGGCCUGUGGUUCUGGGAUAGGGGUAUUUUUGUUGAUCAAGAGAACUACUAUUCUGCUACAAAGAUGUGCACGUCAGGCUCCCUGGCCAUCUCCAUACUUGGAUGCAUAUGGUGAAGAGGAUAUUGAAAUGCAUAGAGGAAAGCCACUGUACCUGAAUGAGGAGCGUUAUGCUACUCUAACAUACAUGGUUGCUUCUCACGGCCUUGAUCAAAGUUCUAAAGUCCUCGGACAAACUACCAUUGGAUCUAUCUUCCCGGUCUAGUUUGGGAGACGUUCUUCAAGUGGAGAAUUUUUCCUCAGAUCUGUAUCGAAAAAUCUUCUGCACGUGCAAAAUUGGCCAUGCUUAUGAUUGAGCUGAAUGAGUUGACAAUCAUGGACUGAGGAGUUGUUUGUUAAGGUAUUUCGGGUUCUUUUCUCCAUGAGUUGGAAAGGCUAGGUAUCAUGGUUCUGUUGGUGUUCCGUGGUUGUACAGUUCUUAUUGCAGUGGAAUGUCCCCAUUUGCAAUCAGCAAUCAUGUUCAGUAGAUAAGCGAUAUCCUUCAUCCGUCUCACAUCUGCAUAUGGUGACCUGCAAAUUUGAACUGUACGGCUUCUAAAUCAAGUAAAAAGCCCCCAUUUUCCCUAAUGCUCUUUUCUGUCUUUCCUUGAUUUUGUUUUUGUUGUGAUCCUUCUGGGGGUGGGAUUUUCAGCUGCCCCAUGAAGGAACUGGUAGAUGACAAUUUCCUAUGCAUUUUGUAAAUGUUGUAUAUAGCUCAUCUUUGUUUUUCUAGCAGUUUUUUUUUUUUUUAAAUGAUAAUGCUGUUCCAAAUUUGAAUUGAUUUCCACCUAGAAAUUAAUAAUUCACUAAAAAAAA
rnacentral:misc_RNA from 1 species